UGGACCAAAGAUGAAGUUUGGUGAUGUAUAAAUUAUGGACAAUAAACACCUGUGCCCGGAACUUUGAGGUGUAA